rnacentral:rRNA from 1 species
UACGUGGGGAGCAAGCGUUGUUCGGAUUUACUGGGCGUAAAGGGCGCGUAGGCGGUCAGCACAAGUCAGUUGUGGAAUCUCCGGGCUUAACUCGGAAAGGUCAACUGAUACUGUGCGACUAGAGUGCAGAAGGGGCAACUGGAAUUCUCGGUGUAGCGGUGAAAUGCGUAGAUAUCGAGAGGAACACCUGCGGCGAAGGCGGGUUGCUGGGCUGACACUGACGCUGAUGCGCGAAAGCCAGGGGAGCGAACGGG